rnacentral:misc_RNA from 1 species
AACGCACCUUGCGCCCUUUGGUAUUCCGAGGGGCAUGCCUGUUUGAGUGUCAUUAAAUUAUCAACCUUUACUAGCUUUUGCUUUGCUAAAGGAUUGGAAGUGGGGGUAUUCAUUUUGCAGGUUUUUGAUAAAGAAAUCUGCUCCCCUCAAAUGCAUUAGCGGUUUCCUUGUGGACUCGUCUAUUAGUGUAAUAAAAAAAAUCUACGCUGUUAGAUGUCUACGUCUUAAGGUUAUAUACUGCUUUAUAGUCGUCUUUUAAUAGGACAACAUUUUUUGACUCUUGAUCUCAAAUCAGGUAGGACUACCCGCUGAACUUAA